UGUGGCGUUGCCCAGACAACUAGGAUGUUGGCUUAGAAGCAGCCAUCAUUUAAAGAGUGCGUAAUAGCUCACUAGUCGAGUGACACUGCGCCGAAAAUGUACCGGGGCUAAACAUAUUACCGAAGCUGUGGAUUGUCCUUUGGACAAUGGUAGGAGAGCGUUCUAAGGGCGUUGAAGCAUGAUCGUAAGGACAUGUGGAGCGCUUAGAAGUGAGAAUGCCGGUGUGAGUAGCGAAAGACGGGUGAGAAUCCCGUCCACCGAUUGACUAAGGUUUCCAGAGGAAGGCUCGUCCGCUCUGGGUUAGUCGGGUCCUAAGCUGAGGCCGACAGGCGUAGGCGAUGGAUAACAGGUUGAUAUUCCUGUACCACCUAUAAUCGUUUUAAUCGAUGGGGGGACGCAGUAGGAUAGGCGAAGCGUGCGAUUGGAUUGCACGUCUAAGCAGUAAGGCUGAGUAUUAGGCAAAUCCGGUACUCGUUAAGGCUGAGCUGUGAUGGGGAGAAGACAUUGUGUCUUCGAGUCGUUGAUUUCACACUGCCGAGAAAAGCCUCUAGAUAGAAAAUAGGUGCCCGUACCGCAAACCGACACAGGUAGUCAAGAUGAGAAUUCUAAGGUGAGCGAGCGAACUCUCGUUAAGGAACUCGGCAAAAUGACCCCGUAACUUCGGGAGAAGGGGUGCUCUUUAGGGUUAACGCCCAGAAGAGCCGCAGUGAAUAGGCCCAAGCGACUGUUUAUCAAAAACACAGGUCUCUGCUAAACCGUAAGGUGAUGUAUAGGGGCUGACGCCUGCCCGGUGCUGGAAGGUUAAGAGGAGUGGUUAGCUUCUGCGAAGCUACGAAUCGAAGCCCCAGUAAACGGCGGCCGUAACUAUAACGGUCCUAAGGUAGCGAAAUUCCUUGUCGGGUAAGUUCCGACCCGCACGAAAGGCGUAACGAUUUGGGCACUGUCUCAACGAGAGACUCGGUGAAAUCAUAGUACCUGUGAAGAUGCAGGUUACCCGCGACAGGACGGAAAGACCCCGUGGAGCUUUACUGUAGCCUGAUAUUGAAAUUCGGCACAGCUUGUACAGGAUAGGUAGGAGCCUUUGAAACGUGAGCGCUAGCUUACGUGGAGGCGCUGGUGGGAUACUACCCUAGCUGUGUUGGCUUUCUAACCCGCACCACUUAUCGUGGUGGGAGACAGUGUCAGGCGGGCAGUUUGACUGGGGCGGUCGCCUCCUAAAAGGUAACGGAGGCGCUCAAAGGUUCCCUCAGAAUGGUUGGAAAUCAUUCAUAGAGUGUAAAGGCAUAAGGGAGCUUGACUGCGAGACCUACAAGUCGAGCAGGGUCGAAAGACGGACUUAGUGAUCCGGUGGUUCCGCAUGGAAGGGCCAUCGCUCAACGGAUAAAAGCUACCCCGGGGAUAACAGGCUUAUCUCCCCCAAGAGUUCACAUCGACGGGGAGGUUUGGCACCUCGAUGUCGGCUCAUCGCAUCCUGGGGCUGUAGUCGGUCCCAAGGGUUGGGCUGUUCGCCCAUUAAAGCGGUACGCGAGCUGGGUUCAGAACGUCGUGAGACAGUUCGGUCCCUAUCCGUCGUGGGCGUAGGAAAUUUGAGAGGAGCUGUCCUUAGUACGAGAGGACCGGGAUGGACAUACCUCUGGUGUACCAGUUGUCGUGCCAACGGCAUAGCUGGGUAGCUAUGUGUGGACGGGAUAAGUGCUGAAAGCAUCUAAGCAUGAAGCCCCCCUCAAGAUGAGAUUUCCCAACUUCGGUUAUAAGAUCCCUCAAAGAUGAUGAGGUUAAUAGGUUCGAGGUGGAAGCAUGGUGACAUGUGGAGCUGACGAAUACUAAUCGAUCGAAGACUUAAUCAA
rnacentral:rRNA from 1 species